UAGGGAAUCUUCCGCAAUGGGCGAAAGCCUGACGGAGCAACGCCGCGUGAGUGAAGAAGGUCUUCGGAUCGUAAAACUCUGUUAUUAGGGAAGAACAAAUGUGUAAGUAACUAUGCACGUCUUGACGGUACCUAAUCAGAAAGCCACGGCUAACUACGUGCCAGCAGCCGCGGUAAUACGUAGGUGGCAAGCGUUAUCCGGAAUUAUUGGGCGUAAAGCGCGCGUAGGCGGUUUUUUAAGUCUGAUGUGAAAGCCCACGGCUCAACCGUGGAGGGUCAUUGGAAACUGGAAAACUUGAGUGCAGAAGAGGAAAGUGGAAUUCCAUGUGUAGCAGUGAAAUGCGCAGAGAUAUGGAGGAACACCAGUGGCGAAGGCGACUUUCUGGUCUGUAACUGACGCUGAUGUGCGAAAGCGUGGGGAUCAAACAGG
rnacentral:rRNA from 1 species